rnacentral:rRNA from 1 species
GACGAACGCUGGCGGCGUGCUUAACACAUGCAAGUCGAACGAUGAAGCCGGAGCUUGCUCUGGUGAAUUAGUGGCGAACGGGUGAGUAACACGUGAGUAACCUGCCCUUGACUCUGGGAUAACUGCUAGAAAUGGUAGCUAAUACCGGAUACGACCCUCGGAGGCAUCUUCAGGGGGUGGAAAGAAUUUCGGUCAAGGAUGGACUCGCGGCCUAUCAGCUAGUUGGUGAGGUCAUGGUUCACCAAGGCGACGACGGGUAGCCGGCCUGAGAGGGUGACCGGCCACAAUGGGACUGAGACACGGCCCAGACUCCUACGGGAGGCAGCAGUGGGGAAUAUUGCACAAUGGGCGCAAGCCUGAUGCAGCAACGCCGCGUGAGGGAUGACGGCCUUCGGGUUGUAAACCUCUUUUAGUAGGGAAGAAGCGAAAGUAACGGUACCUGCAGAAAAAGCACCGGCUAACUACGUGCCAGCCGCCGCAGUAA